rnacentral:rRNA from 1 species
GACGAACGCUGGCGGCGUGCUUAACACAUGCAAGUCGAACGGUGAAGCGCCUUCCUUUUUGGUGGGUGUGGAUGAGUGGCGAACGGGUGAGUAACACGUGAGUAACCUGCCCCCUUCUUCUGGAUAACCGCAUGAAAGUGUGGCUAAUACGGGAUAUUCUGGGUCUGUCGCAUGAUGGGUCUGGGAAAGAUAUUGUUUCGGUGGGGGAUGGGCUCGCGGCCUAUCAGCUUGUUGGGGGGGUGAUGGCCUACCAAGGCGGUGACGGGUAGCCGGCCUGAGAGGGUGGACGGUCACACUGGGACUGAGACACGGCCCAGACUCAUACGGGAGGCAGCAGUGGGGAAUAUUGCACAAUGGGCGCAAGGCUGAUGCAGCGACGCCGCGGGAGGGAUGGAGGCCUGCGGGUUGUGAACCUCUUUCGCCAGUGAAGCAGGCCUGCCUCGUUUGUGGGUGGGUUGACGGUAGCUGGAUAAGAAGCGCCGGCUAACUACGUG